GAAAUGCAGUCCCGGGUGGGUUAGGUUAUGGUGGGGCUUUGGUAGGAGAACGUGCCAGAAAGUUCGAAGCGUGUUUCGCCGAUCAAUACUUGGUAUUUCCUUAAUUUUUCCUGUAAAUCAUUAAGAACCGCCACAGGAGGGGUGUCAAACGAUAGUUCUAGACACGAGGUAUCCGACGAUAUCGGUGGUCGUCGGAUAAACAGCGUGAAAAGUGUGAAAAUUAUAAACGAUAGGGAAAUGCGCAUUUACUAGCCGGGCGCCGGGUGCCGGUGCAACUUCUCGAACGUUCGGCGCUGCGACGCCGCCGCGGGCCUAUAUAAGAGGGCCGGCCGUGGUUGCUCGGUGCAUUCGUAAAUCAACUUUCGUUCAGUUCAGACACCACGAAAACCCGAAGACCCAUCCACCAGUGAAUAGACCUCCGCUUCUUUUACAUGGUCCACGAGGCUGCUGACACAACAGGACGAGAAAAUGUAGACGAGAGGGUUCCGGUGCGGAACGCGUCAGUUAACCUGCACCGUACGGGGUCGGUGCUUUAACAGUCCGUACGCAACGAUAAUUUUGGUCUGACUAGUUUGAAAUUUCCCCAUAUUUCGAACAGUUUGAGAAGAGCACUUCGAGGUACAUGCAUUAGUUUAGAGCAGACUCGUAGUUUGUUCGAGAUAAAACGUCGGCACUCCAUCUUCUCUAAUACCACAAGGGGCACGCCCGGAUCAUUGGAAAUUGUCAAAUCUCGAAAGCAAAAACGAAACGAAAGGGCAAAAUCUAGAGGAGAGGAUCAGUUGAUCGACGGGCAACGGACGAAUCCUUUGGAUUCGUCGGGGUCGCCGCCGCCCUAUUCCUCCUC